GACGAACGCUGGCGGCGUGCCUAAUACAUGCAAGUCGAGCGGACUGAAUGGGAGCUUGCUCUUGUUCGGUCAGCGGCGGACGGGUGAGUAACACGUGGGCAACCUGCCCGCAAGACCGGGAUAACUCCGGGAAACCGGAGCUAAUACCGGAUAACACCGAAGACCGCAUGGUCUUUGGUUGAAAGGCGGCGCAAGCUGCCACUUGCGGAUGGGCCCGCGGCGCAUUAGCUAGUUGGUGAGGUAACGGCUCACCAAGGCGACGAUGCGUAGCCGGCCUGAGAGGGUGACCGGCCACCCUGGGACUGAGACACGGCCCAGACUCCUACGGGAGGCAGCAGUAGGGAAUCUUCCGCAAUGGGCGAAAGCCUGACGGAGCGACGCCGCGUGAGCGAAGAAGGCCUUCGGGUCGUAAAGCUCUGUUGUGAGGGACGAAGGAGCGCCGUUUGAAGAAGGCGGCGCGGUGACGGUACCUCACGAGGAAGCCCCGGCUAACUACGUG
rnacentral:rRNA from 1 species